UACGUAGGGUCCGAGCGUUGUCCGGAAUUACUGGGCGUAAAGAGCUCGUAGGCGGUCUGUCGCGUCGGCUGUGAAAACCCGGGGCUCAACCCGGGCCUGCAGUCGAUACGGGCAGACUAGAGUGCGGUAGGGAGACUGGAAUUCCUGGUGUAGCGGUGAAAUGCGCAGAUAUCAGGAGGAACACCGGUGGCGAAGGCGGGUCUCUGGGCCGUAACUGACGCUGAGGAGCGAAAGCGUGGGGAGCGAACAGG
rnacentral:rRNA from 1 species